rnacentral:rRNA from 1 species
CCUACGGGAGGCAGCAGUGGGGAAUAUUGGGCAAUGGGCGCAAGCCUGACCCAGCAAAGCCGCGUGAAGGAAGAAGGCUUUCGGGUUGUAAACUUCUUUUUAGAGGGAAGAGCAUAAGACGGUACCUCUUGAAUAAGCCACGGCUAACUACGUGCCAGCAGCCGCGGUCAUACGUAGGUGCCAAGGGUUGGCCGGAUUUACUGGGUGUAAAGGGCGUGAUGCCGGGAAGACAAGGCAGAUGUGAAAUCACGCGGCUCAACCGCGGAACCGCAUUUGAAACUGUUUUUCUUGAGUACCGGAGAGGUCAUCGGAAUUCCUUGUGUAGCGGUGAAAUGCGUAGAUAUAAGGAAGAACACCAGUGGCGAAGGCGGAUGACUGGACGCCAACUGACGGUGAGGCGCGAAAGCGUGGGGAGCAAACAGGAUUAGAUACCCUAGUAGUC